rnacentral:rRNA from 1 species
GACAGAGGGUGCAAGCGUUAAUCGGAAUUACUGGGCGUAAAGCGUGCGCAGGCGGUUCGUUGUGUCGGCGGUGAAAGCCCCGGGCUCAACCUGGGAAUGGCCGUUGAAACUGGCGAACUGGAGUGUGGCAGAGGGGGGUGGAAUUCCGCGUGUAGCAGUGAAAUGCGUAGAGAUGCGGAGGAACACCGAUGGCGAAGGCAGCCCCCUGGGCUGACACUGACGCUCAGGCACGAAAGCGUGGGGAGCAAACAGG